GACGAACGCUGGCGGCGUGCCUAAUACAUGCAAGUCGAACGAGGUGCUCCUCGGUGGCAACACCUUGGGGUUACCUAGUGGCGAACGGGUGAGUAACACGUGAGGAACCUGCCCCGAAGACCGGGAUAACCAGAGGAAACUCUGGCUAAUACCGGAUGCCCCCACCGGACCGCAUGGUCUGGUGAGGAAAUGGAUUCCGCUUCGGGAGGGCCUCGCGGCCUAUCAGCUUGUUGGUGGGGUAACGGCCUACCAAGGCGUCGACGGGUAGCUGGUCUGAGAGGACGAUCAGCCACACUGGGACUGAGACACGGCCCAGACUCCUACGGGAGGCAGCAGUAGGGAAUCUUGCGCAAUGGGCGAAAGCCUGACGCAGCAACGCCGCGUGCGGGAUGAAGGCCUUCGGGUUGUAAACCGCUUUCAGCAGGGACGAAAUUGACGGUACCUACAGAAGAAGCCCCGGCCAACUACGUGCCAGCCGCCGCCGUAAAAC
rnacentral:rRNA from 1 species